GAACAAAACGUAAAGCAUGCUUCCAAGCCAGCGAGGCCGAUGGUUACGAGCAUCUUUCGAUUAGUCUUCCACAAAUGAUCAAGCCGAAGGUCCGAGCAAUCGACGUAUUCUAUCACCUGCUCCGCUGUAAAGUGUUCACUUUGCCAUACGACGAGAAGCACAAGAUUUGUGCGAUGGAGCUGUAUUGUGAGCAAUCGAUUCGAUGGCUGCAUCGGGAUAAGAAUCGGCAGAGGUGAGUUUUGCCUAGGCAGGCAGGCACGUAGGCAUGCCUGCAUCGCCUCGCCUAAACCCUCUCUUUUCCAGACUCCGUUCCCCCAACCUCAUCAUCUUCUCGCAACCCAACUCCUCGGACCUUGGCUGCUGCUUGAUGAUGGAUCCAAACUUUGCGGAUAUCGCUGACUUUCUUCAGUGUGAUCUUUUGAUCUACGACUAUCCCGGGUACGGUGUCAGCGAGGGAACGACAAAUGAGAAGAAUGUCUACGCUGCUGUGGAGGCGGUGAUGAAGUACGCGAUGGGCACGUUGGGCUACUCACAGGACAAGAUCAUUCUCAUUGGAUUCAGUUUGGGCACGGCGGCGAUGGUUCAUGUUGCCGAGAUGUAUAAGG
rnacentral:sRNA from 1 species